rnacentral:tRNA from 1 species
UGUCGCAAUAGCUCAGCUGGAUAGAGCAACGGUCUUCUAAACCGUAGGUCGAGAGUUCGAAUCUCUCUUGCGACAG